AUUGAACGCUGGCGGCAGGCCUAACACAUGCAAGUCGAGCGAGCGGCGGACGGGUGAGUAAUGUCUGGGAAACUGCCUGUUGGAGGGGGAUAACUACUGGAAACGGUAGCUAAUACCGCAUACCACCAGAUGUGACCAGAUGGGAUUAGCUAGUAGGUGGGGUAACGGCUCACCUCGGCGACGAUCCCUAGCUGGUCUGAGAGGAGGACCAGCCACACUGGAACGGAGCCACGGUCCCGAAUCCUACGGGAGGCAGCAGUGGGGAAUAUUGCACAAUGGGCGCAAGCCUGAUGCAGCCAUGCCGCGUGUGUGAAGAAGGCCUUCGGGUUGUAAAGCACUUUCAGCGGGGAGGCGUUACCCGCAGAAGAAGCACCGGCUAACUCCGUGCCAGCAGCCGCGGUAAUUC
rnacentral:rRNA from 1 species